ACCAUCUCUCAUAUUGUAUAUAGUAUGGAUCCGAAGCCUCUUGAAGAUUAACAUAGACUCUCCACCUCACUUCAAUUCAAUACGUUCCCGGCGUAUAGAAUGGUAACAUGUCUCUCCAAAUAUCUGAGCUUGGGUAAACGUGAAAACCCAAUCCCUUGGGAAGAUGGGUGAUAUGGCUAAAUUGAGUGGA
rnacentral:ribozyme from 11 species